rnacentral:rRNA from 1 species
GACGAACGCUGGCGGCGUGCCUAAUACAUGCAAGUCGUACGCUUCUUUUUCCACCGGAGCUUGCUCCACCGGAAAAAGAAGAGUGGCGAACGGGUGAGUAACACGUGGGUAACCUGCCCAUCAGAAGGGGAUAACACUUGGAAACAGGUGCUAAUACCGUAUAACAAUCGAAACCGCAUGGAUUUGAUUUGAAAGGCGCUUUCGGGUGUCGCUGAUGGAUGGACCCGCGGUGCAUUAGCUAGUUGGUGAGGUAACGGCUCACCAAGGCCACGAUGCAUAGCCAACCUGGGAGGGUGAUCGGCCACAUUGGGACUGAGACACGGCCCAAACGCCUACGGGAGGCAGCAGUAGGGAAUCUUCGGCAAUGGACGAAAGUCUGACCGAGCAACGCCGCGUGAGUGAAGAAGGUUUUCGGAUCGUAAAACUCUGUUGUUAGAGAAGAACAAGGAUGAGAGUAACUGUUCAUCCCUUGACGGUAUCUAACCAGAAAGCCACGGCUAACUACGUGCCAGCAGCCGCGGUAAUAC